ACGGGAGGCAGCAGUGAGGAAUAUUGGACAAUGGUCGGAAGACUGAUCCAGCCAUGCCGCGUGAAGGAAGAAUGUCCUAUGGAUUGUAAACUUCUUUUGUACGGGAGCAAUAAGGUGUAUGCAUACACCGAUGAGAGUACCGUACGAAUAAGCAUCGGCUAACUCCGUGCCAGCAGCCGCGGUAAUACGGAGGAUGCGAGCGUUAUCCGGAUUUAUUGGGUUUAAAGGGUGCGUAGGCUGUGCGUCAAGUCAGCGGUGAAAGCCCGGGGCCUAACUCCGGAACUGCCGUUGAUACUGUCGCGCUGGAAUACGGAUGCCGUGGGAGGAAUGAGUAGUGUAGCGGUGAAAUGCAUAGAUAUUACUCAGAACACCGAUUGCGAAGGCAUCUCACGAAUCCGUCAUUGACGCUGAGGCACGAAAGCGUGGGGAUCAAACAGGAUUAGAUACCCUGGUA
rnacentral:rRNA from 1 species